rnacentral:rRNA from 1 species
AUUGAACGCUGGCGGCAGGCCUAACACAUGCAAGUCGAACGAGUGGCGGACGGGUGAGUAAUGUCUGGGAAACUGCCCGAUGGCGGGGGAUAACUACUGGAAACGGUAGCUAAUACCGCAUACCAUCGGAUGUGCCCCUAUGGGAUUAGCUCGUAGGUGGGGUAAUGGCUCACCUAGGCGACGAUCCCUAGCUGGUCUGAGAGGAUGACCAGCCACACUGGAACUGAGAAACGGUCCAGACGCCUACGGGAGGCAGAAGUGGGGAAUAUUGCACAAUGGUCGAAAGCCUGAUGCAGCCAUGCCGCGUGUAUGAAGAAGGACUGAGGGUUGUAAAGUACUUUCAGCGGGGAGGCGUUACCCGCAGAAGAAGCAACGGCUAACUCCGUGCCAGCCGCCGCGGUAAUAC